UACGGGGGGGGCAAGCGUUGUUCGGAAUUACUGGGCGUAAAGGGCGCGUAGGCGGCCUUCUAAGUCAGACGUGAAAUCCCUCGGCUCAACCGGGAACUGCGUCUGAGACUGGAGGGCUUGAAUCCGGGAGAGGGAUGUGGAAUUCCGAGGUGAUAGCGGUGAAAUGCGUAGAUAGUCAGGAGGAACACCGGUGGCGAAGGCGGUUCUCUGGGCCUUACCUGACACUGGAGGAGCGAAAGCGUGGGGAGCGAACAGG
rnacentral:rRNA from 1 species